rnacentral:rRNA from 1 species
GAUGAACGCUGGCGGCGUGCCUAAUACAUGCAAGUCGAGCGAACGGACGAGAAGCUUGCUUCUCUGAUGUUAGCGGCGGACGGGUGAGUAACACGUGGAUAACCUACCUAUAAGACUGGGAUAACUUCGGGAAACCGGAGCUAAUACCGGAUAAUAUUUUGAACCGCAUGGUUCAAAAGUGAAAGACGGUCUUGCUGUCACUUAUAGAUGGAUCCGCGCUGCAUUAGCUAGUUGGUAAGGUAACGGCUUACCAAGGCAACGAUGCAUAGCCGACCUGAGAGGGUGAUAGGCCACACGGGAGCUGAGACACGGUCAAGACGACUAAGGGAGGCAGCAGUAGGGAAUCUUCCGCAAUGGGCGAAAGCCUGACGGAGCAACGCCGCGUGAGUGAUGAAGGUCUUCGGAUCGUAAAACUCUGUUAUUAGGGAAGAACAGAUGUGUAAGUAACUGUGCACAUCUUGACGGUACCUAAUCAGAAAGCCACGGCUAACUACGUG